AAUGUUACCAAAUGAUUUAUUAUGAUUUGUGCUAAAUUACAAUGCAUAUGAAAUGGAGUCAUUUAUGGAAACACAUAAAAAUAGUUACCUAUUCUGUAAUUAUAUUCACACAAGAAUCUGAAAUAUAGUUUCUGUUCUUCCUUUUAAAAUAUAUCCACAGAAUGACUUUUGUAGUUUUCACCAUACAAUUUUACAAUACUGAUACUGCACCUGUAUCAUUUACCAUACUAUAAGAACUAAACAGAAUAUGAAAGCAGUUAAUAGCAAAUUAAUUUUUUAUAUCCAUCAAUGAAUCCAAAGAAAAGAGUAGUUUGUUUCCAUUGGCAGUGAGAAUAGAUGGUAGUAAUUCGCAGUGUAGAUAUUGCAUACAUAGAUAUGUAUGUAUAUAUUUAUAUGUUGCUCAGGGCUGUUCCAUCUAUAGGCGGUUGCCUUCUGAGUGAACCAAUGAUUGCCAAAAUGAUGUGCAAUUCCAUUGGGACAAUUAGUAGUAGCAUUUUCUAUCAUGUUUUUCUCGCAAAAACAAAUAGGUAAGAAAGAAAUACAGCAGGCGAAGAUCUACAGUGUUACAUCCCAAGGUAAAAACAGUUAGAGUUAUUAGAGUCACAGUAGUUUAUGUAUAUUUGCUAUUCACAGACUGCAGACUUUUUGCUGAAUAACUGAGCUGCUGAGAACUGACGACAUGUAGACAUGCAUUCAUGUGAGUCCAUAAUUAAUGAUGUUUAUACUGUAAUAAGCACAUUCAUUUUAACACCAGUCAGUAAACAAAUUCCUUUAAAGUUUGAGCUAAAUCUGCUAUCACAAUUACGCACAAAAAUAACCUGUAAACAAUAUGACGUUACAUUUAUGUACAAGCGAACUGCAUUGGAAAGGAGAAGAGGUAAUUUCAUUGGGUGUCACUUGUUAUUCAUCAAUGUGCAACAAACUGACCCAAGUCAUCAAGUGCUUGAAUGACGUCAGGAAAAAGUAACAUGAGCAAGGCCCCAAUAAGUCACCACUCAGCAUUAGUACCAGCAAAAUUCAGAAUCCUCUAUUUGUGGUGACAUCACAUUCACAGCAUCAGAAACAGAUGUCACAAGGAGCUUGAUAAUCCCUGGUCAGAUGCACUUGAAAUUUCCAGGUAACCUGAUCAACAGGGUCUUUAACUUUAAAAGUGUAAGGGGUGGUGCUGAU
rnacentral:lncRNA from 1 species